AUGUACAUUCCUAUAGCAUAGCGUUAAUGCAUCAGAUCCCAUUAGAACUUCACAUUUAAGCACACUCAAUAUAGAGUAGUAAUGGGAUGGGUGACCGCCAGGGAAGUCCUAUUAUUUUACAUG
rfam:Picea glauca, whole genome shotgun sequence.